GCCCGUGUGGGUCAACCAGACCGCGCUUUGGACUUACAAUCCAGAGGUUGCUGGUUUGAAUCCCGCGGCGGGCG
rfam:Culex pipiens quinquefasciatus supercont3.31 genomic scaffold, whole genome shotgun sequence.